rnacentral:lncRNA from 1 species
AUGUCAUUACUAUUUGGGGCAGUGUGUCAAAGCAUAUUCGACAAGAGCUCAUGCUGAAGAAGCCUCAUGGUGUCAGAGUAACAGGACUUGGGACAUUCUACAUUAAAAAAUGGAUGUCUUUUGAAAAUGGUGAAGUGCUCAAUUUUCGGAGACCUAUGUUUUCAUUGUCCAGGACUGUUGCACAGAUUUGUGAGCUGAAAGACACUAACAUGGAUGUUCCUGGCUCCAGGCUGUGACAGCACAUGAAAAAACAGCUGACAAAUAUCCCCCAGAAGAAUUUGCGAAGCCCAAAGAAGAAAAGAAGCCACAACUACAGACUGAAAGUAACCAGAAAGGAAAUGAAAGUGCUGAUUCCUGAUAGAGGGCAUCUUCUUCACAAGUUCUGCAUUUUGCGGGAGAGCCUUUCUCCUCAGAGACUAGCCAGGGCUGGGACGAAGGAAGAAGCAGAGGAGAAAACCAAGGGAAAAGAGCCUCCCACCAGAGAGCUCCCACGAUGUCCAGGCAUAGAAGGAAGGGAAC